AAACGAUGUCAACUAGCCGUUGGAACACUUGCUGUCUUAGUGGCGCAGCUAACGCGAUAAGUUGACCGCCUGGGGAGUACGGUCGCAAGAUUAAAACUCAAAUGAAUUGACGGGGGCCCGCACAAGCGGUGGAGCAUGUGGUUUAAUUCGACGCAACGCGAAGAACCUUACCUACUCUUGACAUCCACGGAAGACUGCAGAGAUGCGGUUGUGCCUUCGGGAACCGUGAGACAGGUGCUGCAUGGCUGUCGUCAGCUCGUGUUGUGAAAUGUUGGGUUAAGUCCCGUAACGAGCGCAACCCUUGUCCUUACUUGCCAGCGGGUAAUGCCGGGAACUUUAAGGAGACUGCCGGUGACAAACCGGAGGAAGGUGGGGACGACGUCAAGUCAUCAUGGCCCUUACGAGUAGGGCUACACACGUGCUACAAUGGCCGGUACAGAGGGCCGCGAGACCGCGAGGUGGAGCAAAUCUCAGAAAACCGGUCGUAGUCCGGAUCGCAGUCUGCAACUCGACUGCGUGAAGUCGGAAUCGCUAGUAAUCGCGAAUCAGAAUGUCGCGGUGAAUACGUUCCCGGGCCUUGUACACACCGCCCGUCACACCAUGGGAGUGGGUUGCACCAGAAGUAGCUAGUCUAACCGCAAGGGGGACGGUUACCACGGUGUGAUUCAUGUCUGACGUGAAGUCGUAACAAGGUACCCGU
rnacentral:rRNA from 1 species